rnacentral:lncRNA from 1 species
GGGGGUCCUGUCUUUCAGGGUAAGAGGCGGCGCCUGGAAGAUAAAGAUUCCAAUCAGAAGCACACUGUUUCUGGGGACCUCUCCUGGGAAAUCAUUCUAGGACAGAUGGAAUGUGGACAUGAUACAAUGCUUCUCACUUGUUCUGUGCAGUUACAGUAUGAUUACUUCCUCUGAUAUUUGGAUGCUAAUUUCCUUGUCAGAUUUCCCAG